GUUUGAUCCUGGCUCAGGACGAACGCUGGCGGCGUGCUUAACACAUGCAAGUCGAACGGUGACGAGGAGCUUGCUCCUCUGAUCAGUGGCGAACGGGUGAGUAACACGUGAGCAACCUGCCCCAGACUCUGGGAUAACAGUUGGAAACAGCUGCUAAUACCGGAUACGAGACGGAGAGGCAUCUCUACCGUCUGGAAAGUUUUUCGGUCUGGGAUGGACUCGCGGCCUAUCAGCUGGUUGGUGAGGUAAUGGCUCACCAAGGCGACGACGGGUAGCCGGCCUGAGAGGGCGACCGGCCACACUGGGACUGAGACACGGCCCAGACUCCUACGGGAGGCAGCAGUGGGGAAUAUUGCACAAUGGGCGAAAGCCUGAUGCAGCGACGCCGCGUGAGGGAUGACGGCCUUCGGGUUGUAAACCUCUUUCAGCAGGGAAGAAGCGAAAGUGACGGUACCUGCAGAAGAAGCACCGGCUAACUACGUGCCAGCAGCCGCGGUAAUACGUAGGGUGCGAGCGUUGUCCGGAAUUAUCGGCGUAAAGAGCUUGUAGGCGGUUUGUCGCGUCUGCAGUGAAAAUCCGAGGCUCAACCUCGGACUUGCUGUGGGUACGGGCAGACUAGAGUAUGGUAGGGGAGACCGGAAUUCCUGGUGUAGCGGUGGAAUGCGCAGAUAUCAGGAGGAACACCGAUGGCGAAGGCAGGUCUCUGGGCCAUAACUGACGCUGAGAAGCGAAAGCAUGGGGAGCGAACAGGAUUAGAUACCCUGGUAGUCCAUGCCGUAAACGUUGGGCGCUAGGUGUGGGGCUCAUUCCACGAGCUCCGUGCCGCAGCUAACGCAUUAAGCGCCCCGCCUGGGGAGUACGGCCGCAAGGCUAAAACUCAAAGGAAUUGACGGGGGCCCGCACAAGCGGCGGAGCAUGCGGAUUAAUUCGAUGCAACGCGAAGAACCUUACCAAGGCUUGACAUAUACCGGAAACAUCCAGAGAUGGGUGCCCCGCAAGGUCGGUAUACAGGUGGUGCAUGGUUGUCGUCAGCUCGUGUCGUGAGAUGUUGGGUUAAGUCCCGCAACGAGCGCAACCCUCGUUCUAUGUUGCCAGCGCGUAAUGGCGGGGACUCAUAGGAGACUGCCGGGGUCAACUCGGAGGAAGGUGGGGAUGACGUCAAAUCAUCAUGCCCCUUAUGUCUUGGGCUUCACGCAUGCUACAAUGGCCGGUACAAAGGGCUGCGAUACCGCGAGGUGGAGCGAAUCCCAAAAAACCGGUCUCAGUCGGAUUGGGGUCUGCAACUCGACCCCAUGAAGUCGGAGUCGCUAGUAAUCGCAGAUCAGCAACGCUGCGGUGAAUACGUUCCAGGGCCUUGUACACACCGCCCGUCAAGUCACGAAAGUCGGUAACACCCGAAGCCGGUGGCCCAACCCUUGUGGAGGGAGCCGUCGAAGGUGGGACUGGCAAUUGGGACUAAGUCGGAACAAGGUA
rnacentral:rRNA from 1 species